CCCUGCAGGGGAAAGUUCUUUUGGAGAACACCGAGCCCCCUCUGCCUGCCUGCUAGGUCAGGGGCAACGCACCGCCGUUCCCGGGGAGGGUCGGGCAGUCCGGAGCGCUGUGGCUCGGGUCAGAGCGGGCAGGUCCAUUACAUAACCGCGAGGCGGCCCCUCACCCCUCGCCAAGCCGCGGCCCGUAGAGCGGAUCCCGGGAUAAAUCCCAUUCACCCGCCGGCCAGAGUCCACGGCGGAGCUGGGGGCGUUGAACUCUGGUGCAUUUCGGAGGCUGAGCGCGGGGAUUUUCCCCGCCACGCUCUCCGCCUCCCGCGCUGCCCGUGGGGCCCCCAGCCCAGCCGGCGCCUCCGCCGCGUCCGCUCCCCGCCCCUCGGGAGCGCGGACCGCGGCGCCUGGGGCCCGGGAAGGGGCCACCGCGCGGGGACGCGGCACGGUGGGUGCACCCCGGGGGCAUGUCCGCACGCCACCGUCCGGGCUGCAGCGGUCCACGCGAGGCCCCUUUUGCACUUAUCAUAAAAAUAGUGCUUGCAUGGCUCAACUUGUACUGGAUAUUGAAGAAAUUCAGCCCACGCCCAUUCCUCCUGAUUAGUUGUAAAGUUCAGAAGAGAAACUGAGCUUGUGCAUCUUGAUUCAUCCUCACCAUAAUGUGAGUUACUGCUCAUGAGGCUUCUUGUUUGUUUAUUUUGUUUUGUUGUUUUUGCUUGUUUUUGGCCACACUGCGUGGCAUGUGGGAUCUUAGUCUCCCCAACCAGGGACUGAAUUCAUGUCUCCUGCAGUGGAAGCACAGAAUCUUAACCACUGGACUGCCAAGGAAUUCCCUCCUGAGACUUCUUGAUCUGCAUGCACACGGGCUCCCUAAAGGCCUAUUUUUCAGACACAUCUGCUUUUUAUUCACGGUUCUGGCCCUCACGAUGGGACCUCUGCUAUACUCUUAAGACAUUGUGUGAGUAAACUGAUGAGAAAAAUGAAGUGAGAGAUACUGUUUCUUUCUUUUUUUUUUUUUGCUGUUGCAG
rnacentral:lncRNA from 1 species